rnacentral:sRNA from 1 species
CACCCUUCUGCUCACUUCUAUUCACUGUCUUGCCAUCAUCUCUCCCAA